CAAGUCUUGACAUCCCUCUGAAUCCUCUAGAGAUAGAGGCGGCCUUCGGGACAGAGGUGACAGGUGGUGCAUGGUUGUCGUCAGCUCGUGUCGUGAGAUGUUGGGUUAAGUCCCGCAACGAGCGCAACCCUUAACUUUAGUUGCCAGCAUUCAGUUGGGCACUCUAGAGUGACUGCCGGUGACAAACCGGAGGAAGGUGGGGAUGACGUCAAAUCAUCAUGCCCCUUAUGACCUGGGCUACACACGUACUACAAUGGUCGGUACAACGGGAAGCGAAGCCGCGAGGUGGAGCCAAUCCUAAAAAGCCGAUCUCAGUUCGGAUUGCAGGCUGCAACUCGCCUGCAUGAAGUCGGAAUUGCUAGUAAUCGCGGAUCAGCAUGCCGCGGUGAAUACGUUCCC
rnacentral:rRNA from 1 species